rnacentral:rRNA from 1 species
UUGAAGAGUUUGAUCAUGGCUCAGAUUGAACGCUGGCGGCAGGCCUAACACAUGCAAGUCGAACGGUAACAGGAAACAGCUUGCUGUUUCGCUGACGAGUGGCGGACGGGUGAGUAAUGUCUGGGAAACUGCCUGAUGGAGGGGGAUAACUACUGGAAACGGUAGCUAAUACCGCAUAACGUCGCAAGACCAAAGAGGGGGACCUUCGGGCCUCUUGCCAUCGGAUGUGCCCAGAUGGGAUUAGCUUGUUGGUGGGGUAACGGCUCACCAAGGCGACGAUCCCUAGCUGGUCUGAGAGGAUGACCAGCCACACUGGAACUGAGACACGGUCCAGACUCCUACGGGAGGCAGCAGUGGGGAAUAUUGCACAAUGGGCGCAAGCCUGAUGCAGCCAUGCCGCGUGUAUGAAGAAGGCCUUCGGGUUGUAAAGUACUUUCAGCGGGGAGGAAGGGAGUAAAGUUAAUACCUUUGCUCAUUGACGUUACCCGCAGAAGAAGCACCGGCUAACUCCGUGCCAGCAGCCGCGGUAAUACGGAGGGUGCAAGCGUUAAUCGGAAUUACUGGGCGUAAAGCGCACGCAGGCGGUUUGUUAAGUCAGAUGUGAAAUCCCCGGGCUCAACCUGGGAACUGCAUCUGAUACUGGCAAGCUUGAGUCUCGUAGAGGGGGGGUAGAAUUCCAGGUGUAGCGGUGAAAUGCGUAGAGAUCUGGAGGAAUACCGGUGGCGAAGGCGGCCCCCUGGACGAAGACUGACGCUCAGGUGCGAAAGCGUGGGGAGCAAACAGGAUUAGAUACCCUGGUAGUCCACGCCGUAAACGAUGUCGACUUGGAGGUUGUGCCCUUGAGGCGUGGCUUCCGGAGCUAACGCGUUAAGUCGACCGCCUGGGGAGUACGGCCGCAAGGUUAAAACUCAAAUGAAUUGACGGGGGCCCGCACAAGCGGUGGAGCAUGUGGUUUAAUUCGAUGCAACGCGAAGAACCUUACCUGGUCUUGACAUCCACAGAACUUUCCAGAGAUGGAUUGGUGCCUUCGGGAACUGUGAGACAGGUGCUGCAUGGCUGUCGUCAGCUCGUGUUGUGAAAUGUUGGGUUAAGUCCCGCAACGAGCGCAACCCUUAUCCUUUGUUGCCAGCGGUCCGGCCGGGAACUCAAAGGAGACUGCCAGUGAUAAACUGGAGGAAGGUGGGGAUGACGUCAAGUCAUCAUGGCCCUUACGACCAGGGCUACACACGUGCUACAAUGGCGCAUACAAAGAGAAGCGACCUCGCGAGAGCAAGCGGACCUCAUAAAGUGCGUCGUAGUCCGGAUUGGAGUCUGCAACUCGACUCCAUGAAGUCGGAAUCGCUAGUAAUCGUGGAUCAGAAUGCCACGGUGAAUACGUUCCCGGGCCUUGUACACACCGCCCGUCACACCAUGGGAGUGGGUUGCAAAAGAAGUAGGUAGCUUAACCUUCGGGAGGGCGCUUACCACUUUGUGAUUCAUGACUGGGGUGAAGUCGUAACAAGGUAACCGUAGGGGAACCUGCGGUUGGAUCACCUCCUU